GCCUGGCUGGCUUAGUCGGUACAGCAUGUGACUAUUGGUCUCAGGUUUGUGAGUUCAAGUCCCAUGCUGGGUG
rnacentral:tRNA from 1 species